GUGAGUUGUGGUGAGUUGUCAGGGCUUUCCCAGCUAAAAGGGGAUUUUGCGUUUUGUCUCCUCAGUUGAUAAAUCUGAGAUUUGGCAGUAGCUAGAACGCCACUGUUACUUUUUGGGAUAUUGAGUCUGUAUGACAUCAAUGAGGAGGACAUUGAUGGUGUCACUGAUCGUUCUCAGCUUUCAACAGUAACACAACCAUCUCCACUCCAAAUGCAGCUACCCAUAUUAGAGUUGCCAAAACCAUAUCCUCAUAUAAACAAGUGGAAGGUUUGCUGGACAUUAACCAAUUAGUUGGGCUAUUAGUUCCUUACUUUGUGGUGUCCCUGGUGUGAGUGAAAAAAAUGUUCAGGUACUUUAUAGUUAGGAAGAUUUAACGAUGCUUUUUCUAUGUACUUUACUUUAUUAUGUUUUGAUAAACGGAGGUUCAGCAACAGGUUACUGAAAUUAUCACUUAUAUAUAUAGCCUCCACAACAAAGUAAUUUCCUAAGAAACGUGUAG